rnacentral:rRNA from 1 species
UAGGGAAUCUUCCACAAUGGACGCAAGUCUGAUGGAGCAACGCCGCGUGAGUGAAGAAGGCUUUCGGGUCGUAAAACUCUGUUAUUGAAGAAGAACGUGUGUGACAGUAACUGGUCAUGCAGUGACGGUAUUCAAUCAGAAAGUCACGGCUAACUACGUGCCAGCAGCCGCGGUAAUACGUAGGUGGCAAGCGUUGUCCGGAUUUAUUGGGCGUAAAGCGAGUGCAGGCGGUCUUUUAAGUCUGAUGUGAAAGCCUUCGGCUUAACCGAAGAAGGGCAUCGGAAACUGGGAGACUUGAGUGCAGAAGAGGAGAGUGGAACUCCAUGUGUAGCGGUGAAAUGCGUAGAUAUAUGGAAGAACACCAGUGGCGAAGGCGGCUCUCUGGUCUGUAACUGACGCUGAGGCUCGAAAGCGUGGGUAGCAAACAGGAUUAGAUACCC